GACAGGGGAUGCAAGCGUUAUCCGGAAUGAUUGGGUGUAAAGCGUCUGUAGGUUGCUUCUUAAGUCCAUUGUUAAAUCCCAGGGCUUAACCCUGGACAGGCGAUGGAUACUAUUAAGCUAGAGUACGGUAGGGGCAGGGGGAAUUUCCGGUGGAGCGGUGAAAUGCGUAGAUAUCGGAAAGAACACCAAAAGCGAAGGCACUCUGCUGGGCCGAAACUGACACUGAGAGACGAAAGCUAGGGGAGCGAAUGGG
rnacentral:rRNA from 1 species